UGCCACUCAGAUAAGGGUUUGGAUGCAAACUGCCACACAGAUAUAAUGCCUGUUGCAAAUUGCCACUCAAAUAAAGGGCUGGCUGCAAAUUGCCGCUCAGAUAAGGGUCCAGUUGCAAACUGCCACUCAGAUAAGGGUCUGGAUGCAAACUGCCACUCAGAUAAGGGUCCGGAUGCAAACUGCCACUCAGAUAAGGGUCCGGUUGCAAACUGCCACUAAGAUAAGGGUCCACUUGCAAACUGCCACUCAGAUAAGGUGCUGGUCGCAAAAUGCCGCUCAGAUAAGGGUCCAGUUGCA